rnacentral:rRNA from 1 species
CAAUAGCGUAUAUUAAAGUUGUUGCAGUUAAAAAGCUCGUAGUUGGAUUUGUGGCGUACGGUGUGUUCCGGGCACUUGUUGUCUGAGUAACCUGCUGUUGCCAUCCUUGGGUGGAACCUGUGUGGCAUUAGGUUGUCGUGCAGGGGAUGCCCAUUAUUUACUGUGAAAAAAUUAGAGUGUUCAAAGCAGGCUUAUGCCGUUGAAUAUAUUAGCAUGGAAUAAUGAGAUAGGACUUUUUUGCUAUUUUGUUGGUUUGCGCAAAGAGGUAAUGAUUAAUAGGGACAGUUGGGGGUAUUCGUAUUCCAUUGUCAGAGGUGAAAUUCUUGGAUUUUUGGAAGACGAACUACUGCGAAAGCAUUUACCAAGGAUGUUUUCAUUAA